rnacentral:rRNA from 1 species
UACGAGGGGGGCGAGCGUUGUUCGGAAUUAUUGGGCGUAAAGGGUGCGUAGGCGGUUUGGUAAAUCUGAUGUGAAAUCUAUGGGCUCAACUCAUAGUCUGCAUCGGAAACUGCCGGGCUUGAGUGUGGGAGAGGUGAGUGGAAUUCCUGGUGUAGCGGUGAAAUGCGUAGAUAUCAGGAGGAACACCUGUGGCGAAAGCGGCUCACUGGACCACAACUGACGCUAAUGCACGAAAGCUAGGGGAGCAAACAGG